rnacentral:rRNA from 1 species
UGGUGGAGUGAUUUGUCUGGUUAAUUCCGUUAACGAACGAGACCUCGACCUGCUAAAUAGUUCGGCGAAGGCUUCGGCCUUCGUGCGUGACUUCUUAGAGGGACUAUCGGUGUGUAGCCGGUGGAAGUUCGAGGCAAUAACA